UACGAAGGGGGCUAGCGUUGUUCGGAAUUACUGGGCGUAAAGCGCGUGUAGGCGGGUCUUUAAGUCAGGGGUGAAAUGCCAAGGCUCAACCUUGGAACUGCCUUUGAUACUGGAGAUCUUGAGUCCGGGAGAGGUGAGUGGAAUUGCGAGUGUAGAGGUGAAAUUCGUAGAUAUUAGGAAGAACACCAGUGGCGAAGGCGGCUCACUGGUCCGGUACUGACGCUGAGGUGCGAAAGCGUGGGGAGCAAACAGG
rnacentral:rRNA from 1 species